AUGUUCUUUUCCAUGAUGUUCUUUCAAACGUACAAGUACAGCUGAAAAAAAUGCCAUUCCGGAUGUUUCUUGAAGUAGAAUAACAGUUAUCAUUGAUCAAAUAAUAAUUAUGUUUUGGAUAUGGUAAUGCAACUCAUGCAUUUGCUUUAAUAACUUUCAUAUUUCCAAUAGGUGAGGUCUUAUUUUAGUGACCAGACUUACUCAUAUGAUGCAAUCGAAAGCAAGUAUUAGUAGCAGUAACUUUCACCACCUAAACUCAAGCCCUGCAUCCCAAAUUGCACUUAUUCCUUUUCCCUUCAGUACGUACUGUAGCUGCCCUUUCAAAGUCUGUACUGUUGCAUACAGUGUGCAUACAAUUGGGACGUACUACUUCAUCAUUCCAGUGUGCCUUGAAUAUAGACGCUCAUUCUCAGUCAUCUGUCACAGUUUGUUGCGCAAAAAUUUAACAUGGUUGAAAAAUCGUUUGGUGUUACAUUUUUUACCUUGAAAAAAAUGCUAUCAGUCGAGCUAGUCAGAGACACCCAUAGUUCUGUUGAAGGGCAACCAGGAGAGUUGUGCUGUUGUUACUUUGUAUGUGGUUCAGUGGAUGUGACAUACCUUCGGCUGUGCAGAGGAUUUUGGUUCAGAAUAGCCAGAAAAGUAUGCUGGCUUGUACUAGGACAUUCUUGUAUUUUUGGCAUACUGCAGUUGACAUACUACGUAUUGGGACAUGCAAAAUAUUUUUCUGACAUUCUACAUUAUAUUGUAGUAUUGGUACUGAGAAGCAUGCCAACUAUUGUAAGAAGGUCCCAGGGCUACCAAGUACUGACGGGCGCCCUGCCAAGCUACAACAUGUACCGUCCCAAUCAUUUUCCCAUCCUCCUCCUGUGCUAAACCACCUGUCAAAGCAACAGUAAAGUAUCAAAGAGGACUAAGGCUCAAAAGUCUGUCAGUUAACACACAAAUUGGUCCCUAAUCACAGACAUAUUGUGUUUCCAUUGCGCUUGUGUCACAAUGCACAUGAGGUCCAUUCCUCUUGUGAAGAGAUAGACUGACAGGUCAAGCUCUGGUACUGUUCCGAGGUAAAAACAGUGUCAGGUGAGCUCAAACGAUCCGACAAUCGCCAUCGCAUCCCCUCAAGGCAAGACCAAACGCUCACAGAACUCUCUGACAUGGAGAUGUUUAAUCUGAGGUGCUGAAACCUAGCUGUCCCCUAAGGAUGUGUGUGUGUGUGUGUGUGUGCGCACGUGUGACUACUGUUUUCUUUCAGACUCUCUCAGUCCAACAUUUAAGCAAUGAUUUCCUUGAGGGCUUUUUCACGGAGUGUGACAUACCUGUCAAGUUUCCACAGCAGUUGGGAAAUAGACACUCGGGUGUGCUGCUGAAACCAGAGUGUUGCAGUGUUCCAAUCAUUGUAAACCAUUUACACUGUAAUAGGGCUCUAAUGCAUGUCUUAGCAAGCCUGAUAACCAACUGUCAUUAUUCCGUACAAAACACACCUAUAAGACAAUUGCACAAUCGUUAAAAACUUCUACGAGGUGCCGAGCAGUGAAUCUUGAUGUAUGGCAGACUUGUAUGUGUGUGUAUGUGUGAGUGAGAGGGUGGAUUGAGGCAGGCAGGGGUGGGGGUGAAUUUUGUGUGGCGUAGGAGGAUCUGCCUGUCUGUCAGGUGUUGGUACUCACAUUAGUCACAUACAAACAAAGCAUUUUGGGAAGCGACGAUAGGCAACACAAAGAGAGUGUCCAGACUCUACUCAGCACCACAGAUACCCGAUCCCCUCUGUGAAAAUACAGCACUGACGGAGGAAAUAUCUUAAUCUUCUCAGAACACGUAUCUGUCGAUGAAGGAAUUCAUUUUGGCAGCCAAUCAAAUGGGAGGGUCAAUUGACUGCUGACGUGUGGAUAACUAGACUAUCUUGAUGAGACUGUCCAGAGAUUCUGACAAGCUGGGUGAAGCAGCAUCGGAGAGGUGAAGGCAAGAAUCCGAGGGGAACACAUGAAAGUCGUGUAUUGAAACGUCCAGGGCCGGGGGACUUGCUCUAUUGUCCGGGGCAGAUGCGGUGCCGGGGCCUAUUGUUGACACGCAGCCUGCAACAGUGAGUGACGGGUUGGGAAAAUGUUUCAGAUUUUUGUCAUUGCUGCUCAGUGGAGAAGUAGUAUAACUUUGGGCAUCGCUAUUGUGAUGGCCUACAUUCUGGAGCAGCUGUGUGGAGCUGAUGGUAUUUUGUUGAAAUGAGCAGGUUUCCCUCUCCAACAGGGCCCCAGACUCUCUAUUAAGGCUCUGUUCGAAUAUAGAGUCCUCGUCCUCGUCCUCUUCCUCCUCGCUAUGAAUCCCGUCCUCGGCAGUCGGCCCUUUCCCCUCACUGUUGUGAUUCUCCUUGCACUGAGUCUGCCUCUUGUGCUUCAUCCGCCGGUUCUGGAACCACACUUUCACCUGCCUCUCGGUGAGGUCCAACAAAGCAGCUAUUUCCACCCUUCUUGGUCUGCACAGAUACUUGUUGAAGUGAAACUCUUUCUCUAGCUCCAGGAGCUGUGUGUUGGUGUACGCUGUCCUCAACCGACGGGAACCCCCUCCUCCUCCACCGCCACUCUCCAGGAUCUCAGGCGAUCCUAAAGCAUCGUCAUUAAAAUUAAAAA